rnacentral:rRNA from 1 species
AGUGAACGCUGGCGGUAGACCUAACACAUGCAAGUCGAACGGCAGCACAGUAAGAGCUUGCUCUUACGGGUGGCGAGUGGCGGACGGGUGAGGAAUACAUCGGAAUCUACUUUUUCGUGGGGGAUAACGUAGGGAAACUUACUCUAAUACCGCAUACGACCUACGGGUGAAAGCAGGGGAUCUUCGGACCUUGCGCGAUUGAAUGAGCCGAUGUCGGAUUAGCUAGUUGGCGGGGUAAAGGCCCACCAAGGCGACGAUCCGUAGCUGGUCUGAGAGGAUGAUCAGCCACACUGGAACUGAGACACGGUCCAGACUCCUACGGGAGGCAGCAGUGGGGAAUAUUGGACAAUGGGCGCAAGCCUGAUCCAGCCAUACCGCGUGGGUGAAGAAGGCCUUCGGGUUGUAAAGCCCUUUUGUUGGGAAAGAAAAGCAGCAGGUUAAUACCCCGCUGUUCUGACGGUACCCAAAGAAUAAGCACCGGCUAACUUCGUG